CAGUAGCCGCGGGAAUACGAAGGGUGCAAGCGUUACUCGGAAUUACUGGGCGUAAAGCGUGCGUAGGUGGUGGUUUAAGUCCGUUGUGAAAGCCCUGGGCUCAACCUGGGAAUUGCAGUGGAUAAUGGGUCACUAGAGUGUGGUAGAGGAUAGUGGAAUUUCCGGUGUAGCAGUGAAAUGCGUAGAGAUCGGAAGGAACAUCUGUGGCGAAGGCGACUAUCUGGGCCAACACUGACACUGAGGCACGAAAGCGUGGGGAGCAAACAGGAUUAGAUACCCCCGUAGUCCCUGUCUCUUAUAC
rnacentral:rRNA from 1 species